rnacentral:lncRNA from 1 species
UGUUUUUGUUUUUGUUUUUUUUGAAAGCUGGUUGUUAAACCCCUGCCUAAUACACUUCAUACCCUCCUGAACAUCACCUUCAGAUGACUCUUACAGCCUGCCUCUUCCAUGCGUUCUCAUAUGCUGCUGAAUGAAUUUUGGGAGCAUCGUACAACCAUGCCAUCUGUGUCUACUACAAAUUGAUGUUAUCUCAUCUCAACUGGAUCCUUAUUGUAGGAAGAUGAGUAGAUCACAGCACAGAGAGGGAGGCAGGUAA